rnacentral:rRNA from 1 species
GAUGAACGCUAGCGAUAGGCCUAACACAUGCAAGUCGAGGGGCAUCACAUGAAGUAGCAAUACGGAUGGUGGCGACCGGCGCACGGGUGAGUAACACGUAUGCAACCUGCCUUCAACAAGGGGAUAACCCGUUGAAAGACGGACUAAUACCCUAUAACACAGGGGUCCCGCAUGGGAAUAUUUGUUAAAGGACAACCGGUUGAAGAUGGGCAUGCGUUCCAUUAGCUAGUUGGCGGGGUAACGGCCCACCAAGGCAACGAUGGAUAGGGGAACUGAGAGGUUUAUCCCCCACACUGGUACUGAGACACGGACCAGACUCCUACGGGAGGGCAGCAGUGAGGAAUAUUGGUCAAUGGACGCAAGUCUGAACCAGCCACGUCGCGUGAAGGAAGACGG